AUUGAACGCUGGCGGCAUGCUUUACACAUGCGAGUCGAACGGUAACAGGCCGCAAGGUGCUGACGAGUGGCGAACGGGUGAGUAAUGCAUCGGAACGUGCCCAGUCGUGGGGGAUAACUACUCGAAAGAGUAGCUAAUACCGCAUACGAUCUAUGGAUGAAAGCGGGGGACCGUAAGGCCUCGCGCGAUUGGAGCGGCCGAUGUCAGAUUAGGUAGUUGGUGGGGUAAAGGCUCACCAAGCCAACGAUCUGUAGCUGGUCUGAGAGGACGACCAGCCACACUGGGACUGAGACACGGCCCAGACUCCUACGGGAGGCAGCAGUGGGGAAUUUUGGACAAUGGGCGCAAGCCUGAUCCAGCAAUGCCGCGUGCAGGAAGAAGGCCUUCGGGUUGUAAACUGCUUUUGUACGGAACGAAACGGCUCUGGUUAAGACCCGGGGCUAAUGACGGUACCGUAAGAAUAAGCACCGGCUAACUACGU
rnacentral:rRNA from 1 species